rnacentral:rRNA from 1 species
CAAUAGCGUAUAUUAACGUUGUUGCAGUUAAAAAGCUCGUAGUUGGAUUUCUGGAGGGAGCGUCGGCCCGUAUUUACGAGUGCGUGACGUCUCUGUCCAUCCUUGCGGGAAGGCACGGCAUUGAUUUGUUGUGUCGGAUCGCAUCAUUUACUGUGAAAAAAUUAGAGUGUUCAAAGCAGGCUUUCGCUUGAAUACAUUAGCAUGGAAUAAUAAGAUAGGACUUUGGUGCUAUUUUGUUGGUUGAGCCUAAAGUAAUGAUUAAUGGGGAUAGUUGGGGGCACCUGUAUUGCGUUGUCAGAGGUGAAAUUCUUGGAUUUACGCAAGACAAACAGCUGCGAAAGCGUCUGCCAAGGAUGUUUUCAUUA